UGCAGCUGGAGUGGUUCUGUCUGUUUAAUGUAAAUAGCUGUGUAGAAUACAGAAGAGGACAGCUGCCUCACUGCUCAGGGCUGGCUGGAGUUGUGAUGAACUGCCAGGCCCUGAAACCACAGACUCCAGGUAUUGUCUGUGUGAUGGUUCUGAGAUGGGGAAACAAAGCUACCCACAGUACUGCUGGUCUGCAGGAGAAUUCAGAGCUGCUGCUGGGAUCACACACAGAACGUGAGGCUCAGCUAACCUCAGCAAUUUGAUCUGAACAAAUAAGCAAGGAGGGACGCAGGGAUUCAGUGAAUGAAAUUCUGACCUCAGCUCACAUGUUCAGGACUGAGUUCGACAGCAAAUAUUGAUCACCACACGGAGAACUUAAAGUGAGAGAGGAAAAGCCAAGGAGAGCUGGCACCUGACCUACAUGAGUGCUGGGAACUUUUCUUCUCUCUGCACAGUGCAAUAAAACGUUUUGCUUUUGUGAAGAAACA
rnacentral:lncRNA from 1 species